rnacentral:lncRNA from 1 species
UUCCUUAUGUUUAAAUCAAUUGUAUUGUGGGAGACAACAAAUAAAUGGUUUUUUCCCAUUUACUUCUUUCCACAGUCUCCUGUCUCUGUAUGUACAGAGACUAGAAUCUUUCUGCAGUUUCUCUAGGGAUGAUAAGAGCAAGGCUUUUUUCCUCUACAAAUAUAUACGACUUUGCUGAAUUAAUAGAAACAUGGAAAAGGAGGACGAGCAGUAAAUGCAACUCACAGGACUGGUUUUGCUCUUUCUCUGUUUUCCUUGUGGAGAGAAAAUUCCUUCAAGAGGCCAAUAUCAAUGUAUCCUGCUGUUGCUUUCAGCUCCAUCAUCUCUACUCAAAGUGUAUUAUUUUGCAAAGCAUAAAGGAAAUAGAGAGCCUGGAUUGUCUUCCUUGGCCAGGUAAUCUUCAGAGUAGAUCUUGGAUAUCCUUGGUAAUACCACAUGAGGACACCACUAUUCUGUAGGUGCGCUGAGCCUUUUUAUCUCCUCCUAAGCAGAGCUGGGACUUUGUGUUCUCUGAAAGAACAACUGAAA